AUGCACGCUGGCGGCGUGCCUAAUACCUGCAAGUCGCGCGAACAGACGAGGAGCUUGCUCCUCUGACGUUAGCGGCGGACGGGUGAGUAACACGUGGAUAACCUACCUAUAAGACUGGGAUAACUUCGGGAAACCGGAGCUAAUACCGGAUAAUAUAUUGAACCGCAUGGUUCAAUAGUGAAAGACGGUUUUGCUGUCACUUAUAGAUGGAUCCGCGCCGCAUUAGCUAGUUGGUAAGGUAACGGCUUACCAAGGCAACGAUGCGUAGCCGACCUGAGAGGGUGAUCGGCCACACUGGAACUGAGACACGGUCCAGACUCCUACGGGAGGCAGCAGUAGGGAAUCUUCCGCAAUGGGCGAAAGCCUGACGGAGCAACGCCGCGUGAGUGAUGAAGGUCUUCGGAUCGUAAAACUCUGUUAUUAGGGAAGAACAAAUGUGUAAGUAACUAUGCACGUCUUGACGGUACCUAAUCAGAAAGCCACGGCGAACUACGU
rnacentral:rRNA from 1 species